GUGCCAGCCGCCGCGGUAAUACGGAGGGAGCGAACGUUGUUCGGAUUUACUGGGCGUAAAGGGCGUGUAGGCGGUUUGGCAAGUCAGGGGUGAAAUGCCUCGGCUCAACCGGGGACCUGCCUUUGAAACUGCCAGACUUGAGGCCGUGAGAGGAGACUGGAAUUCCCAGUGUAGCGGUGAAAUGCAUAGAUAUUGGGAAGAACACCAGUGGCGAAGGCGAGUCUCUGGCACGGUUCUGACGCUGAUGCGCGAAAGCUAGGGGAGCAAACGGGAUUAGAUACCCCCGUAGUCC
rnacentral:rRNA from 1 species